GGGGGAUGAAGUGCAGAAAGCAAUGCAAUAUAUAUGCACAGCCUCUUCCUCCUGGGAAAAAGCGCGCGGCAAGCAAGUCCCCACACGCUUCCACGCUUCUCACGCAACUUGAACUCCUGGUGCAGAGACAGAGAGAAUGAGAGAGGAGACAACCCACAAUGAUUCUCUGACUUUUAACGUGGGGAGGGGUGGGGUGUCUUCAAGCGGCAGCACACAUCCUUUUGGCGUUCCUAAAACUCAGUGCACCACUAGCGAGGAUAAUGCAGCCCAACCCAAAUCAUAGCAGUUUAACAAAGGCAUCUGAACAGACAGCAAGGGCGUACCUUCAAACCACAUUUUCUUUUUUUAAAAAACAACAACUUUAUUUUCCUACUUAUUUCAGUUGUUUGCAAAGCCAUUUUUCUCCAGGGUAAUUAUAAAGUUGCAGAAGGAAGAGUAUUUUAAAAGAUGUAAUCCAUUAGUUACUCACAGCGCAAGCCUGUGUACAGAAGUAAACUCUGUUGAGUUCAAUGACCUUUACUCCCAGGUAAGUGUGUAUUGUCAAUCUUCUGUAAUUAGUUAGGACCUAUAUGCUUCUAGAUUUACUAUUUGCAUUGUACUGAUUGAGAGCUGGAGUGCUUGGAUUUAAUGUGAUUUUAAUCCCUUUGAUCUCAGUUCUCAAACAGUUUAAUAGAACACCGGUUUAACAGGUUGUUGAACUGAGCCAACAAAAAUGUGGAUCUCGGCUAAACCAAAUGAAAGACUAAUUAUUAUACACUUCAGCGUUGUUUCUUUGUCGCUCUAGGAAUUUGGAAGCUUCAGGAAUUAUAUGUAAAGGCUGCAGAUUGCUGCUGCUUUAAAAAAAAAAAAUAAAUGGAUUCCAUUUGCUUAAUCCAUAAAAGGACAUGAAGGUUGCCUAAAUCUGAUUCAAAUUCUGAAUCAGUGAAGGAAUGACUUUCUAUCUGAUUGGUUGCAGAGAGGUCUCUUUCUAAUCCUUUGAGUGCUGUUGCUUAUGUAGGCAAAAGGGUCACCAUCAGCUCUCAAGAGGGAGGUAUCAGCAGACUCUGCAAAAGUACCCAAAACCUUUAUGGGAAAAACAACCAACCUAGAAUGAAAAACAACACAGUGAGGUCUGAGCAUGCUGAAUACUGAAUGACUUUGGAGGGGAGGGGAGAAAAGGACUGGUGAAGGAAUUGGGUAGAAUCUUGAACGACAGCACUACACCCUUGUUAACAUCUAUUAGCUAAGAUACCUAAAUGGAACCUAAGAUACAACCGAAGAUAUGUCUGUCAUCUUCAUAGCCUGUCUGUGUGCUUCCAUAGGCAUUUAACUGACCAUGGGUAGACUGGACGAAUGGUGUAAUCCUAACCAUGUCUACUCAAAAGUAAGCUCUAUUGCAUGCAAUGGAACUUACUCCCAGGUGAGUAGAUUGCAGCUUCGGUGGAUCCUGGUCUUAACAAGCAUGAGAUAUACUAUGCUCUUAAUCAUCUAAUUUGCUGGCUUGAGCUGUGAUCCAGAACAGUAGGCCCAGGGGUUAUGCAGGGGUUAUGUUCCAGGAAUCAUACCUAAAAAACCAAAUUGCGUAUAGUAAAAAAAAUCAUUGGCUGGUGGGAUUGCCAAUAUCGUUUUCCCCAGAAUGCUUUCCACCCUCUUUAAUUUUUUGCCACAUGCAUAAAGAUGAACGCACACAAGUUAAAUGAGCACAAGUUGCGGGCUUACUGUAGUCUCUUGCUCAGUGCUCAGGCUUGGCUCCAGUGGGAUUUUUUCCCCUUAGUUCCUGUGUGCUUUGGUUUUCCCAUGUCUUCGUUGGUUGGAAAUUAGGUUUUUAAUUUUUAAUUUAACCUCAAUUAAUUUUUAAUUUAACCUCAAUUAAGAAGAAGAAUUGAAUUUUCAAAUACACCUUUUGCCAUCCAUGCACCCACUUACAGUCUCUCCUCUCUUCUCUCUCUUGUGUGUGUGUGUUUUUUAAACAGAUAAAGGAUUAAGUCUUUGAACAUACUGUAUUGCAGUAUUGUACAAGUUGAUACAGUUUGGGGCAUUCUUUCUGUAUACAUUCAUACCAGACGGUUAGCAACAGGCAGGCUGUAAAUCUUCCCAUGAAAAGAAAUAAUAAUUUAAAAAAUGUGUAGUAUUUCUGGUAUUUUUGGAAGAUACCAGCAUUCUGACAAAGUCAUCCAGGGGAUUAAUUCUCAGGCAACUCCAGGAUUUCAGCAACAGGACCAAAAAAGGCAUUCUACAGGUGGAUGCACAUUGAGGCUACAUUUUUCAGUUGUUCCCACGUUAAUUCUGUUGCAGAAUUUUCAUGAUAAACUAACCUCAACUGAGAAUUAUAAUGGAAGGCGUGUUUAAUUUGGUCUGAAUUGUGUUUGUUUUGCAGAAAGAGAGGUUGUAGGGAAGAAUCCGGGCAGGAACAGGCAGGAGAGGAUGACCCAACAAACGAUGUCCAACCCAUCCAUGGCUUAUAGGACACCCCAGUCAAGAAGCUCGACAAGAAUGUUUAUCUAAAAGAAGAGAGCAGUCGGGAUGCUCUGAUUCCACCAAGAUACAACUAUUUCCAGUCUAGUGGCCAAAUCAUCUCAUGACACUCCUCAUCUUAAAAGGGUUGAGGGGCUUCUAGAGAAGGUCCUCUUUAACACUUGAGCAGAUCUGAAUGUUUGUAGGUAGACUGGAUCCCAGCCAGCCAUGUAGGGCUUGAAGGCUAAAAGCAGUGCUUUUAAUUGUGCUCAGAGACAGGCUGGUAGCCACUGAAACUUUAAGAGCUAGCGUUUCAUCCAGUUGGUCCUGGACAGCUAUGCAGCAGCUCUGUCUGGACCUAAUGAAGUAACUUGAAGGUUACACACCAUGUGUUUCAGUAGUCUUUCCUAGAAAUUACCCCAACAUAGAUAACCAUGGUCAUACUUUGUCUAAAAUAAGGUAUCAAACAAAAGUUGGAGGAGAUAAAUAGGUUGGACACUUUUCAAAAAAUAGAUCAGAUUAUAUAAUGCAUUUGAUAGGGAUGGCAAAUUUAAUGCACAGACUGCCAGUUGAGGGCUCUAGUGUUUUCCUUUCAGCUGCUAAAUGUACACAUUGAUCUCUGCAGGUACAUCAGAUAUCUGAAGAAGUGUGCAUGCACACGAAAGCUCAUACCAAUGGCAAACGUAGUUGGUCUCUAAGGUGCUACUAGAAGGAAUUAUUUUGUUUUUUUUCUCCCUUAGAUGGUUGAGGGAAAGUCUCCUUUCAUGAAUAUGUAUCGGGGAUGUGGCAAGCAGAUGCGAGGUGAUCUCCCAUCUGGGUUUUGCGAUCAUAUCUGGCACGUACAUGCAAAACCUUCUGAGGUUUCAAGUAAUUGCCAAGCAUGAUUGAUAAACCCUGAUGGUUUUUAAGAUAAGCGAGGUGAGGCUCACUCCCCACAGCAGCACACAGUGUAAACAGAGACACACCUUCCUUGAGCACAGUGCCAGCCAGAAUCAUUCCGCGUCCCUCCUUCCAAAUGGUCCACUCUCCCAUACAAAUGAACCCUUUGCUGUGGGAGUCAUGAUCCUGUUGCAGCUUACAGGGCUGUGGCAAUGUUUACUGAGAGAAUGGAUCUGAUAUCUGAGCACCCCGGGGCAAGCAUUGUGUAGCACAUAUUUCUAUUGCCAGCAGAGCUUCAAAGAAAACUCCAGAAACCAUCGCUUGGCGAAACAAAACAAGGGCUAUAUUUAUUUAAAAUAUAACAGCUUGGAGGAUCGUCAAAAUUUAAUCAACUGGAAUAACCGAAACAAAAUAUAGUCUGGCCAGGUAAGUUCCCUAAGGCAGGAGGGCUCAUCUCGCUUCACUCUCCUGGGCACGCCUGCAGGCUCAUCCUGUGGCCCCACAGCAAGGACUGGAAGGCUAUGCAAACUUCACAAGCACACCAUGGCACUGCCAGUUUGGCCUUCAUCCAGAACCUCAUGCCAAGCCAAAGGGACACUCCCAAAAUCCCGCAAGCCAAACCUAUGUUGUGUGACCAAAGAGUAGCCAGUAAAGCCUCAGAUAUUUACUCUAUCAGAUAUUAAAAUUCACUUUCCUGCCCGACUAAAAGCCAGCUAAUUCAAUUUUUAAAAUGCCGCUGUAGCAUAAAACAGGCAGCAAUAUGAAGUAGGAAAAAAGGAGGCCAGUCAGGAGCUCCCCCCAAAAUUCAUACUACAGUACUUUCAUUCUGCAAAGCACCUUCCGCAGCCUCCCAGGGUGCUGACAUUUGCUGAAAAUCUCAUUACAUCCUUUACUGGGAUUUCCAGUGAGAAUUCAGAGAGUAUGCGUGUCAAUGCACCUGAGAGCUGGUGGUUGUUGUUGUUAAAAGUGAUGUAUUUUUACCUUUAAAAAAAAUAAGGACAGAAAGUUUUAUGGGGUUUCUCAAGGUAAAAGGCGGGGCUGCUUAGAAACUAAAUCUGCUAGUGUACCAAUCUCAGAUGCCCAGUAGCCAGCCUUCCCAGUCUCCCUUCAGUUAAAGCCCAGUGUUGGCAACUCCUGCAGUUGGUUCCCACCCCCCUUGGAUCAGGAAGGUUGGGCAUCUGGGGAGGCUGCAGAGUGCUGCACAAAUGUUUAACAGAAAGAGGGUUAGAAGCCUGCCACCCCCAGCCGCCUUGAAGCAGUAAGAUAAAAUCAACCCGGCCGCUAUUAAAAUGCUAAUGAAAUUCUAAGACCUCCGAAGAAUAAGGGAAAAAUGGAAGCCUCUUUCAUAGGGUGAAGAAAACUUUUGAAAAAUUGGAGGACAGGUUUUGGCACAGCUCUAAUUAGCGCUCCCAUGCACAGCCAUUGCUUCUGGAGUGCUUUUGAUAUUGCAGCUUGAAUGUUCUCUGCAGCUGUGUAAUCCCCCAUUUGCAAGUCACUGCCUGCAGAUAUCAAACUCCUGUGAGCACAGUCUGUCUAAGCUACAGAUUCUGAAAUGAAGGCCUGGAGCCAUAUAUUCACAUGGGUGCAACUAACGAGAAGAACGAGGCUUUCAUAAUGAAAAGCCAUUUUUUUAAAAAAAAAUAUUUCAGGGCAAUGCAAGGAGUGCAAUUUAAGGAAGCAAUCGUACAUUUGGAAAAAUAGAAUGGGCUAAGUUAGAAUAACAGAAUUUUGCAGUUCGUGUCAAUGCAAAAUCCUAUGUAUUUAGGGUAGGUGUUUUGCUUUUUAAAGUAACAGUAUGACACUCACAAUGCAAUUCUGAAGAACGUGUUGGUAAUUCCAAAGUGUGCGAUGUACGCGCGUUAUCUGUAUUUUUUCCCCAUUAAAAGUGUUCCGUCUUUGUGAAUCUGAA